GAGGCUCUGGAUUGAGGUAUGUUUUCAGUUUCGCGGACGAAACUUUUUGUAGUGGUGGAGGAUGUAGUGUUCCUGAGCUUUGGAUAGGAUUGGCUUCAGUAUUAGUGACUGGUCGACAUCUCUGGAGAGUGUCGGACUGAGUCGGAAUCAAUUCUGCACGAAUUGGAUGCAGAAUUGGACUCGGCGCACUCAAAUAAGCAAAACUAGAGUUUUGCCAGAUUCGGGCGCCC
rnacentral:lncRNA from 1 species